rnacentral:rRNA from 1 species
AUAUUACUAAGCGGAGGAAAAGAAAUUAACGAAGAUUGCCUCAGUAGCGGCGAGCGAAGUGGCAAAAGCUCAAUUCAAAUCUGUAGUCUUCGGCUACCGAAUUGUAAUCUGAAGGGGUUAGCAAAAGGGGAUGUGGAGGCAUAAGUUGCUUGGAACAGCACGCCAAAGAGGGUGAUAGCCCCGUAUUUGGCCUCCGUAGAACCGAAUGCUGGCUUCAAAGAGUCGGGUUGUUUGGGAUUGCAGCCCUAAAUGGGAGAUAAACUUCUUCUAAGGCUAAAUAUCGAAUGGG